rnacentral:lncRNA from 1 species
GGGCCCAGAGACCUCCCUGCCCGAGGCCCCAGCGGAGGAGCCGAAGCCCACACCCAGCAGACGACCAGAACCGCGCCGAACAGGCAGCCAGUGGGCACCCGCCGGCGAGCCCAGAGCCAGCAGGGGCCCGACCCCAGGCCAGAAGGACCCGGAACGGAUGCAGCACCAGGAGCAGCCCGCCCAGGGAGGACGACCACACCCCAAGCCGCAUAAGGCACCAGGGGGCCGCUGGGAGUCUCCCCGCCGGCCCCCAGGCACCCCAACCUAGCCCCCCACGGCGCCCCAGAUCACCCUUCACUGAUGCCGCCCGCGCCACGAGCUUCCGUUCUUUUUUUUUUUUAAAGCCAGGGCCCCCUCCAAGGGCCAAGCCAGACCGCCCCGCCGGGAUGUGGCCCCCUAUUCCGGCCCCCGACACCCUACCUCACGGGGCACUGCCCAAGCAGGGGCCGUACCAGUAGGUACGCAAGGGCGCGGCACGCGCCACCCGCCCCGAAAGACCCCCGCCAGGACCGGCCCGGCCAGCAGGCCAAGCACCCCGGGCCCCAGGAGCACCCCCCGGGACCAGGACCCCCCAAGGGCAAGCCCCCGGGCCAAGCCCCCCGGGACGCAUCCCCCACCCCCGCCCGGGACCCGGCCACGGCCCAGCAGGACCGCACAGCCCCGGACAGCCCACGGCCAGCAGCCCAGGGCCCGCCGCCCCCCGGACAGCGCCAGCCACGGAGCAGCGCCCCCCGCCGGCCCGCGAGCAACCGGCGAUCCCCACCGCGGGGACGGAGGCACCCCAACGGCACACAUCAAGUGCGGGACAGCAGCCCCCAGCCAAAGAUGCCCCGGACCCACCCACCAGUCCGCAAACGGCAGGACAGACCCACCAGGCGGCCGACAGCAACCUCCACCACCGGAACAGCUAGCGCCGCCCCCCAGUAAACAGCAUCACCCCGAGGCGCCAAGCAACCCCGCCCCAACCCCGGCGAGGACACCAGCACCCCCCCAGCACACCCACCCCCCAAACCGGCGAGGCAGGCCGCCCCGGGCCCGCACACCGCGGGGCCCGCCCCCAAGGCCACCAGGAGACAAAGCAAGCACCAAGCCACACCCAAGGGGGAGAGGCACCCCCGCGCCCCACCCGGCCGACACAGCCCGGAAAGACCCCGCAAGGAGAGACCCCGGCAAAGCCCCCCCGAGACCCACCGCCACGCCCGACCGCACCAUCUUGAUGUGCUUUUGCUCUAUGCAGUGGCCCAGCCACCAACAGAGGGGCCAGGCCCCCACCGGAGAGGCCCAAAUAUGUGUACCAACCCACCACCCUGUUAUGGUGCCUCUCCAUUCCCCAAUGGAGAGGCACUUCCCGAUCCCCUGUGUGAAUGUGUGUGUUUGGUGAAUGUAUGGGGUGUAAUUAAAAGAAGGGGGAUGGAGGGGAGCGGUGCUCCCCCUCCAGCCUCUGUGGAUUUAUGUGUAUGUGGUGUAAUAGGCCGGAGGGUGUAAAAGAUGAUACACCCUCCGGGGGGUGACAUGUUGAGAUGCGAUUAAAAUUGGAGGGAUUAGUAGGGCAACUAGAGGUGGGAGGGCCGCCCCCACGCCACUACAUAGUAACACAGGUGGCGGCCCCCUC